rnacentral:rRNA from 1 species
ACAAUGAAGAGUUUGAUCCUGGCUCAGGAUGAACGCUAGCGACAGGCCUAACACAUGCAAGUCGAGGGGCAGCACGAGGUAGCAAUACUUUGGUGGCGACCGGCGCACGGGUGCGUAACGCGUAUGCAACCUACCUGUAAUUGGGGGAUAGCCUUCCGAAAGGAAGAUUAACACCGCAUAAGACAAUAGAUCCGCAUGGAUUAGUUGUUAAAUAUUUAUAGAUUACGGAUGGGCAUGCGUCUGAUUAGAUAGUUGGUAGGGUAACGGCCUACCAAGUCUGCGAUCAGUAGGGGUUCUGAGAGGAAGGUCCCCCACACCGGAACUGAGACACGGUCCGGACUCCUACGGGAGGCAGCAGUGAGGAAUAUUGGUCAAUGGGCGAGAGCCUGAACCAGCCAAGUCGCGUGAAGGAAGAAUGUCCUAUGGAUUGUAAACUUCUUUUGUAGGGGGAUAAAAAAGAGUACGUGUACUCUCUUGUAGGUACCCUACGAAUAAGGAUCGGCUAACUCCGUGCCAGCAGCCGCGGUAAUACGGUGGAUCCUAUCGUUAUCCGGUUUUAUUGGGUUUAAAGGGUGCUGUGGCGGGCUGUUAAGUCAGUGGUGAAAGGUUGACGCUCUACGUUAACAUUUCCAUUGAAACUUGCGGUCUUGAGUGCAAAUGAGGCAGGCGGAAUGUGUUGUGUAGCGGUGAAAUGCAUAGAUAUGACACAGAACACCAAUUGCGAAGGCAGCUUGCUGGAAUGUAACUGACGCUGAGGCACGAAAGCGUGGGGAUCAAACAGGAUUAGAUACCUUUUUAGUCCACGCAGUAAACGAUGAUUACUAGCUGUUAGCGAUAUAAUGUUAGUGGCUAAGCGAAAGCGAUAAGUAAUCCACCUGGGGAGUACGUUCGCAAGAAUGAAACUCAAAGGAAUUGACGGGGGCCCGCACAAGCGGAGGAACAUGUGGUUUAAUUCGAUGAUACGCGAGGAACCUUACCCGGGCUUGAAAUGCAUCUGACGAACUUGGAAACAGGUUUUCUAGCAAUAGCAGAUGUGUAGGUGCUGCAUGGUUGUCGUCAGCUCGUGCCGUGAGGUGUCGGCUUAAGUGCCAUAACGAGCGCAACCCUUGUCAUUAGUUACUAACAGGUUAAGCUGAGGACUCUAAUGAGACUGCCAUCGUAAGAUGCGAGGAAGGUGGGGAUGACGUCAAAUCAGCACGGCCCUUACGUCCGGGGCGACACACGUGUUACAAUGGAGGGUACAGAGGGUCGCUACCUAGUGAUAGGAUGCUAAUCUCGAAAGCCUUUCGUAGUUCGGAUUGGAGUCUGCAACUCGACUCCAUGAAGCCGGAUUCGCUAGUAACCGCGCACCAGCCACUGCGCGGUGAAUUCGGGCCCGGGCCUUGUACACACCGCCCGUCAAGCCAUGUGAGUUGGGGGCGCCUAAAGUUUGUGACCGCAAGGAGCGAUUUAGGGCAAAACCAGUGACUGGGGCUAAGUCGUAACAAGGUAGCCGUACCGGAAGGUGUGGCUGGAACACCUCCUUU